CACGUAGGGUGCAAGCGUUGUCCGGAAUUAUUGGGCGUAAAGAGCUCGUAGGCGGUUUGUUGCGUCGGCUGUGAAAGCCCGGGGCUUAACCCCGGGUCUGCAGUGGAUACGGGCAGGCUAGAGGUAGGUAGGGGAGAAUGGAAUUCCCGGUGUAGCGGUGAAAUGCGCAGAUAUCGGGAGGAACACCGGUGGCGAAGGCGGUUCUCUGGGCCUUACCUGACGCUGAGGAGCGAAAGCGUGGGGAGCAAACGGG
rnacentral:rRNA from 1 species